AUGGGGGAAAGAGUUGAAGGUGUAAGAAAAGGAUUGGGGGCGACAAGAAAUGAGGGUAGAAAUCACAUUGAAGUGCAGAGGAAUAAAGCUAGGUCGGGGAGUGUUAACAGCGAAGUGGAUAUCGGAUUAGGCACUCCUAGGGUAGAUCUGCCACAGCGCAGUAAGAGUGUUGAAAGAUUGGGGGAAGAGUUGAAAGGAAAUACUAGAGUUAAAAAACUGAAGUUGAAAAUGGGCAGUGAGGUAAACAUAACAUUGGGUUUGAGUAAUGAAUACAAAGACCCUACAUCUGAAAGUGGCAAGUACUUGCACUAUUUUUUUGGCCUGCCAUUCCUGGAUCCAUCUGAUGUUCGUAUUUGCUACAAAGACGAUUUCCUUCCUAUAAAACCUGAUACCGAGUGUCCGAAGUUGAUAGCAUUCUCGGAAUUUCUCGGAAUCGGGCGACGAAAAAUUGGGUGCUCUUUUUUUAGGGACGGAAUCGGGACAUGGAGUCGGACCGCGGGACGGAAUCGGGCAAUUGCGGGAAGGGGCACGGCCAUAAGGCUCACACAGUAUGGCUUACACAGUGCCAAAAACCCAACUGCGAACGAGUUAGAGAAUUGCUUAAAAAAUAUCAUUUUUUCCUCUCUACCUAAAUUAUCGAAAUCGACAAAUUGUGAAAAUGAUGUAGAAAAGUUCAUUGUAUCCAUCAAAAACCUUACACUAGCCAAACUUCGACCGCAAAAGCCAGAGCCUAUUGUUAUCACUGAAUUGGGAGCUACAGAGGAAGAGGAGGAUGUUGAUGCUCCCGAUGAGGUGGAUCCUGAAACGCUGGAUGGUGAAGAUGUUGAAGAGAGUAGUGAAUUCUCACAAUUACUAAAAAAAUUUGAUAUCGUUGAAGCAAACGCAAUUUAUUAUGUUUGUGGUUAUUUUUCAUUUAAGUUCCUCAAAAAGCAUCAAUGUUCAAUCUGUACAAAAAUUUUAACAGUACCUAAAGAGGAGCACGCCUCUACAAAAGCUUAUCAAACUUUCACAUAUUUAACUGCCCGGUCAGAAAUUUUUGGAGGCGCCUUCGGUAAUUUAUCUAUAGCCCCAGACAAAGUGUUUCAAACAUUUUUGAAAUUCGAAGGAAUGUUCAAAGAAAUCUACACUGCCUCUUGCCAUGCCCCUAAGCUUUCUGCUCCAAUUUAUUCUGCAUUCGUUGCCUCCCAAAGUCGCUUUCAAUUAUGCAUUCCAGCUGUAACAGAGAACUUCUUGAGGUAA
rnacentral:lncRNA from 1 species